UGGGGAAUAUUGGACAAUGGGGGCAACCCUGAUCCAGCAAUGCCGCGUGUGUGAAGAAGGCCUUCGGGUUGUAAAGCACUUUCGAUGGGGAAAAACAAGCCAGACCUAAUACGUCUGGCCCUGAUGGUACCCAGAGAAGAAGCACCGGCUAACUCUGUGCCAGCAGCCGCGGUAAUACAGAGGGUGCAAGCGUUAAUCGGAAUUACUGGGCGUAAAGGGUGCGUAGGUGGUUUGUUAAGUCAGGSKKGAAAUCCCUGGGCUCAACCUGGGAACUGCGUUUGAUACUGGCAGACUCGAGUCUGGUAGAGGGUAGUGGAAUUCCGCAUGUAGCGGUGAAAUGCGUAGAUAUGCGGAGGAACAUCAGUGGCGAAGGCGGCUACCUGGACCAAGACUGACACUGAGGCACGAAAGCGUGGGGAUCAAACAGGAUUAGAUACCCUGGUAGUCCACGCCCUAAACGAUGGGUACUAGACGUUGGGAGGUUUAUCCUCUUGGUGUCGCAGCUAACGCAAUAAGUACCCCGCCUGGGGAGUACGGUCGCAAGAUUA
rnacentral:rRNA from 1 species